AGGGUGUAAACGCUGCGGGCUUGGUGUUGGGGGUCCUUAGUGGGCGCCCAGUGCCGGAGAGAAGUUGUUAAGCCUGCUGCUUGGGGAGUAUGUCCGCAAGGAUGAAACUUAAAGGAAUUGGCGGGGGAGCACCGCAACGGGAGGAGCGUGCGGUUCAAUUGGAUUCAACGCCGAAAAACUCACCAGGAGCGACGGAUAUAUGAAGGUCGAGCUGAUGACUUUACCUGAUUAGCUGAGAGGAGGUGCAUGGCGUAGUCGUGU
rnacentral:rRNA from 1 species